rnacentral:rRNA from 1 species
GAUGAACGCUGGCGGCGUGCUUAACACAUGCAAGUCGAACGAUGAAGCCCAGCUUGCUGGGUGGAUUAGUGGCGAACGGGUGAGUAACACGUGAGUAACCUGCCCUUGACUCUGGGAUAAGCCUGGGAAACUGGGUCUAAUACUGGAUAUGACUUCUCAUCGCAUGGUGGGGGGUGGAAAGAUUUAUUGGUCUUGGAUGGACUCGCGGCCUAUCAGCUUGUUGGUGGGGUAAUGGCUCACCAAGGCGACGACGGGUAGCCGGCCUGAGAGGGUGCCCGGCCCCACGGGGACUGGACACCGGCCCAGGCUCCUCCGGGGGGCAGCAGUGGGGAAUUUUCCCAAAUGGGCGCAACCCUGAUGCAGGGACCCCGCGGGGGGGAUGACGGCCUUCGGGUUGUAAACCUUUUUCAGUAGGGAAGAAGCGGGAGUGACGGUACCUGCAAAAGAAGCCCCGGCUAACUACGU